AGAGAGAUAACUAAAGAAACAGGGUUCUGGGGGUUUGGAGAGUACUUUAAAAGACCAGUAGGCUGUCCAGUGGAUGUAGAUGUUCUGUAGAGACCCAGAAACUAUAUAGAAGCAAGCUCAGUGAGAAAAGACAUCUAAACUCAGGUAACUCUGGGCAACCUGCUUUAUGUCUCAGUUUCAGCAAUUUACCCAAUUAACCUGUGCAAUGGAACAGACUGUCUGCCAUCUCAGUUUCACAUGAAUGCUGUGAGGAGCAAAUGCUCAGAUGAUUUGCAAAUGUGUUAACAGUUUAUAAAGAAAAGGCUACGGUGGCACCUGCUGGGUGCCCAGAAUGGAGCUAAGGACUGAGGAGAGGCUCUGCCCACAAGACGCGGAAAUUUAGUAAAGAAGACAAAACAAAAGACCCGAGAAGAAUCCCUCGAAGUCCCAGUGGUGACAGAGGAAACUGGCUGCAUUUAAAUCAUGUCAAUAGUUGUCACUGCGCUCAACCACAAAAAGAAAAAUGCUUGUGAGCAAACCUUUACUCCCCUUUUACGCUUUGGGAAAAGUGUACCUUCUGGUCAGGUGCACCUAAGAAGAAGAGAACUUCUUGGGAUCCUCAGGGCUACCCUACCUGUGUGCUGGGAGACAACAGUGUGCUCCAGGGCUCCGAGUAGUCCAGAGAACCAGGCUGUAACACACACGUGCUUGUGGGAGUGCCCUAAGUGGAAAUACGAGCAAGCACCACCUGCUUGCCUCUCCCUGUUCCUGGUUUUGACCAUCAUAGACCAAUUCUCCUUACAAGCAUACCAAUAAAUCAUUUCUGACGUGGCCCGGCCCUUCUGCCGCUCCCUUCCCAAGAAAGGAUUGGGAAUGCCCGUGAGGCUUUCUCACGGUAAUAGAAGACUCUGUACAAUAAGAACAACUUCUCCAGUGUUCUCACAGGAAAAACAUCUCUGGCUCAAGGCACAACCAGAAGUGCAGAAGAGAGAAAACUCCGACCUAGUAAUACCCAUGAGUAAUACUCAUCCAGGUGAGUUACCUGAGGAUAUCCACUGUGCAGCAAGAAAAGAGGUUAUGG